rnacentral:rRNA from 1 species
GGAGUAUGGGCCGUGUCUCAGUCCCAUUGUGGCUGAUCAUCCUCUCAAACCAGCUACUGAUCGUCGCCUUGGUGGUCAAUUACACCGCCAACAAGCUAAUCAGAUGCAGGCUCAUCCUAGAGCACCGGAGUUUUCAAGAAUACUAUUUCAAGUACGCUCAUAUGGGGUAUUAGCAGAAGUUUCCCUCUGUUGUCCCCCACUCUAGGGCAGAUUUCCUACACAUUACUCACCCGUCCGCCACUUUCCACAAGAGCAAGCUCUUGCUUCUCGUUCGACUUGCAUGUAUGAGGCACGCCGCCAGCGUUGUCCUGAGCCAGGAUCAAACUACU